rnacentral:lncRNA from 1 species
CUUGUUACUCACAAAUAUCCGUCAUUAUGGCCGAAAAACGUCUUAUUUUUAAAAAAUGGAAAAAGGAUGUCGGCAACACAUCGAAUAUCGAAGGAUGUCGGGGACACAUCAUAUAAUAUUUUUAACACAUAUGUUAACAUUAUUCUUAUUCAACAUACAUUAUGUUAUUCAACAUGUGACUAGAUCUAAUUUCUUAUUUUUUUCAGAUAAAACUAAUGGUCAUGACAAGACGCAAAUCAAACUUAAACUUGUGCAGGCGGAAACGAUCGCGAAUACAACCUGAUGUUGACCAGCCGACCAGAUCGCCCACUAAACCGCCAUCCGUAAAAAAAUCAAAACCAUGCAAGUCCUCAUUUGUCAUCAAAAUAAAAACGCCUGCCAAAAAUAUUAAGUUUCACCCAUUGUCAAUUACUGAAGAAAUUUCAACAAAACCGCC